GACGAACGCUGGCGGCGUGCUUAACACAUGCAAGUCGAACGGAAAGGCCCUGCUUGCAGGGUACUCGAGUGGCGAACGGGUGAGUAACACGUGGGUGAUCUGCCCUGCACUUCGGGAUAAGCCUGGGAAACUGGGUCUAAUACCGGAUAGGAGCCAUUUUUAGUGUGAUGGUUGGAAAGUUUUUUCGGUGUAGGAUGAGCUCGCGGCCUAUCAGCUUGUUGGUGGGGUAAUGGCCUACCAAGGCGGCGACGGGUAGCCGGCCUGAGAGGGUGGACGGCCACAUUGGGACUGAGAUACGGCCCAGACUCCUACGGGAGGCAGCAGUGGGGAAUAUUGCACAAUGGGCGCAAGCCUGAUGCAGCGACGCCGCGUGGGGGAUGACGGCCUUCGGGUUGUAAACUCCUUUCGCUAGGGACGAAGCUUUUUGUGAUGGUACCUAGAUAAGAAGCACCGGCUAACUACGUG
rnacentral:rRNA from 1 species